rnacentral:rRNA from 1 species
GAUCAUGGCUCAGGAUGAACGCUAGCUACAGGGCUUAACACAUGCAAGUCGAGGGGCAGCAUAACGAUAACUUGCUAUUGUUGAUGGCGACCGGCGCACGGGUGAGUAACGCGUAUCCAACCUGCCCUUGUCCAUCGGAUAACCCGUCGAAAGGCGGACUAACACGAUAUGCAGUUCACAGCAGGCAUCUAACGUGAACGAAAUGUGAAGGAAAAGGAUGGGGAUGCGU